rnacentral:lncRNA from 1 species
GUUUCUUCUAGAAGUGGGUUUUACGCUUCUCCUUUUGGAUUUCAUUUGGGGCAUCUUGUAUGACUCAAUGUGGCAGCAAGGUAACUGACAAGCCUUUCUUGGUGGCUACUUGUUGGAUUUUUCAUCAUGUUUCUCAAGUGGGGGAUAUAUCUUUUCAAUCGAAUGCUUUAGUAUACAUACUUUUUGCGACAAUUGAACGAAGAUAGGCUUCCCGAGUUAUUUGAGUUUGCC